CAAAAACUCAAAAACAUCAAAAACACAUUCUCUCGCGCCUAGCUCUUUCUCGACCCAGCAGCAACCCUAAGCAACCAAGAGCAACAAACCUAGCAACAACCCAGAGAAACAUCCCGUCCAUUACCAACAACCCAACCCAGAUUCCCUUGAUUCCUCUCUAUCAGAAGAGACAGAAGAUUCCUUUUCACUCCUCGAGCUAGAAGAGACAGAUCAGAUUCCUUUCGCAGAACUGGAGUUCUUUGAUUUCAAGAGCUGGAGUCCGAAGUAUUCAAUAUUGUUAAUUGCAUGAUGCUUCCAAUUCAGCCGCUGUCGUCUCGCACACUAACCCCAUGAACCCAAGACACCCAUUUCUCCAAAACGCACUCAACUUCUUCUUCACCAAUCAUUCACUGCUGCUUUAGGGCUCGCUGUCCCUUAAUGAUACUUCGGCUUCCGUCGUCGAUUCCAAGAGCGGUGUGUUGUUUCCGUCGGUCCUGGGCGGGACUCGGUGACUUCUGGGAAUUGGGUUGAGGAGAAAACGCGUGUUGGGGUUGUAGAACAUCGAUUUGUAUUCGUAUGGAGAGCAAAGAGCAGCUUGGAACCAAUGUUAGCUUUACUACAUCUUGUUUCUCUAUUAUUGUUAACUUCGAUCUUGCUGCAGAGCAUUUUGACUACCCUAUGGCUUUAGGUA